GAAUAUGAGUAGAAUGAUUGUUUUUGAAAUCAUUAGACAGUACCCUUCCCUCCAGAUACAGUGAUACAGAUGAAAGGCCUUUGGGGCCCGUCUGAACACACAUAGAGGCUUUGGGCCGUGUGUUUGGGCGCUUUUGCCUUUUGGGGGCAUAUGCAUGCGGUAUGAUAAGUACAGAUAUACUGAUAUGAGAUGCAGACAGCUGUUG
rnacentral:lncRNA from 1 species